GAUGAAGAACGCAGCGAAAUGCGAUACGUAAUGUGAAUUGCAGAAUUCAGUGAAUCAUCGAAUCUUUGAACGCAUAUUGCGCCUGCCAGUAUUCUGGCGGGCAUGCCUGUUCGAGCGUCAUUACAACCCUCAGGCCCCCGGGCCUGGCGUUGGGGAUCGGCGGAGCCCCCCGUGGGCACACGCCGUCCCCCAAAUACAGUGGCGGUCCCGCCGCAGCUUCCAUCGCGUAGUAGCUAACACCUCGCGACUGGAGAGCGGCGCGGCCACGCCGUAAAACACCCAACUCUUCUGAAGUUGACCUCGAAUCAGGUAGGAAUACCCGCUGAACUUAAGCAUAUCAAUAAGCGGAGGA
rnacentral:misc_RNA from 1 species